ACACACAGCCGGCUCACCUUAACAGCAGCGCAGCAGUGGAUUACAGAGCACGGGGACAAGGAGACACUGGCGGGUAGGGAAUGGAUCCGCAUGUGAAUCAUGCUGACAGGUCAAUGAAGUGAGUAGCGGCAACAGAUGGCGCCGUAUGCAGCCAGGUACCCCACCAUGCGAGUCACAGGUGAGCCGGCCCUACCCCACUUCUGCUGGGCCGAUGCACAUAGUGCAAUCUGCGCAGAGCCGGGGACUGCCGCUACCGCGAUCGGAGCACUCAGAUUUGGGGAAUGGCUGCUGGUCACUAGAGGCGGCUUCUGCUCAGAAAACGGCCGCGGAAGCUGCUGCCAGCUUAUAUUAAAUCAGCGGGGUGGGACUUUAAAACCAUCGGAGCAGUUAUCAUCAGAUGACAUUUAACUCACGGUAAUUGGAGGUGUAACGUGGGCGGAGCGAGAGCUCUGGUCUCCCUGAUGUCCGCUCCUGCCGUGCCGAUGUGAGAUGCGCACCGUUAGUAAAUCUGUGUGCCAUGCUGCAUGCUGCCUUUUUAAAUAGUAAGGCAGCGUACAGUCUUUAACAGCAGUCAGCAUUUGUAGUGCGCUGCACUAUGUAUGUGUGGCUGUUGCCCCACCCCUGCCUCUACACUUGCUAUGAUCACUGAAGCUGCAGCACGGGCACGGACUCUGCAGAUCUCUGAUGUGGAGCCUUGUGGAGUGCACUGGGAACGGCCAGUGGCAGUAGAAGAGGGGGGGCAGCAAGGAUGUGUAAUACAGCGCCUGUGAUCCGUCCACAGAUACGAACAGAGGUCCCCGGGAGAGAGACACAUGAAUCUGCAGUGUCUUUCAGCCACAAUGGAUAAGCAUACAAUCUUCUGUCUUCAGUCUUCCUCCUUCUGAAGUUCUUCGGACACUUCCAUCAGAUGAAGCCUGCUUGACAGGGGAAACGCAUCGAUGAAUCAGAUAAGAGGGAAGCGUCUUCAGCCUGUGUGCCGAGGAGACUGAACUCCGGAGAGCGUACCCAUUACCAUAGUGAUGGAGGAGGAGCCGGAUAACCUAUUUGGCAGCGGCCGCUGGGGCUCCCAUCCAGAGCGGCCUCCAUGGCCCAUCCGGCCCAUCGGCUGAAGGACGGGUGUAUUAACUAUUUAAAGGGAUGUAAGCGACGAACAGGGUGAGCAAUUUCAACAGUAUGUAAGGACCAUGGAAGAACAGUACCAUAGAUGAUGUGAUACGCAUAUGUUGGAGCAACCACCGCGAAUGUCCAGGAACAUCUCAUGAAAUCACAUAAACUCAGUUUCAGCGACAUCUCAAUGAAGAAACUUUUGUUUUGUUGUACGUAUUCUAGGCUUCUUGGGAUUGCUCUUCAUAGCUUCAUUUGAUUGGUAUUCAUUACAUGUAUAACACAAUAUGUAUAAAUGCACAAAUUUGUAUGGAUAUAUGUCAUAUCUUGGUAAGCAGACCAAAACAAAUGUCAUUUUCAGAAUCUACGACCCCAAAAUACCCCAAAAAGCGUCUAACAUCUCCUUCACCAGUUGUAUUCCCCGGUGAUAUACUUUCAGUUGCAUAUUUUUCCAUAUACAACUUUACAAAGCACUUAUUACUUUUUUAUUCCUGUAUUGCUCUAUGAUUUCUGGUAUUUGUGUCCUGUCUUUUUACCACCUGCCGAGUGUCUUCUCUGAUCUGGAUUCUCAUGUCAUCAUUAUUGUGGAAUUACCUUUUGUUAUUCAUAGCAAGUUGUUUUGCACAUUCCCUGGCAUGGUGUUAUGAUUUGUGCUCCCUUUGCUAUAUAUAGUUUCAUAUUUUCUUGUUUUGCU